UGCCCCACAGUCCCCCCCCUCGGGGACAAGGAGCCGGUAUCAGGCACAUUAUCAAGCCCAUAACACCUUGUUCAGCCACACCCUUAAGGGAACUCAGCAGUGAUAAAUAUUAAGCCAUAAGUGAAAACUUGACUUAGUUAAACCUAAAAGGGCCGGUAAAACUCGUGCCAGCCACCGCGGUUAUACGAGAGGCCCAAAUUGAAAGACACCGGCGUAAAGCGUGGUUAAAUUAAAAUUAAACUAAAGUUAAAUAUCUUUAAGGCUGUCAUACGUGCCCAAAGACCGGAACUUCAAUCACGAAAGUAACUUUAUAUAAACUGAACCCACAAAAGCUAUGACCCAAACUGGGAUUAGAUACCCCACUAUGCCUAGCCAUAAACAUUGAUAGCACAAUACCCCCUAUCCGCCCGGGGACUACGAGCAAUAGCUUAAAACCCAAAGGACUUGGCGGUACUUUAGACCCACCUAGAGGAGCCUGUUCUAAAACCGAUACCCCCCGUUCAACCUCACCCUUCCUUGUUUUACCCGCCUAUAUACCGCCGUCGUCAGUUUACCCUGUGAAGGAUAAAUAAUAAGCUAAACUGGUAUAACCUAAAACGUCAGGUCGAGGUGUAGCGUAUGGAGGGGGAAGAAAUGGGCUACAUUCGCUAUUUUAGCGAAAUACGAAACAUGUGCUGAAACGUUCGYYUNAAGGAGGAUUUAGCAGUAAGYRG
rnacentral:rRNA from 1 species